CCCCUUCACUUGGGAGGGUGCCAGGCUGGGUGGCAGCUUCCCGGCCCUGAAUCCUCCGUUUGUAGCAGGGCUGGCUGGAUUGCACUGCGCCGGAAGAGGCGCCGGGAAUGUUUAUGGAAGCGAUAGCCAAGUAGCUGUGGGACCCAGACCUUUAGAACAGUGGGCGUAUUAUAACUUUAAAAGGCCAUUUCUCUGCCAAAGCUCAUUGUGCAAGCGGGCUUAGUUUUUAGCCUUGCGAAGAUUUCACUUUGUCGGUUCCUUUUUCACUAGAUCUCUAAGACCUGGAGGAAAAAAAAGACCACAAAACUGCAACGGAAAAGCUCGUUUGACUUGGGUUACCACGACAGAGCUGUGCUCGGGCGUCCUGAUUACCGCUGCCAGCCUGACCUGUGCCAGAGGUGCAUGCAUAUCUCCAGGAGGAGAUGAGCAAGAAGCCACCUUGGAGAUGCCGGGAGAACCUUCAUGUUUGCCGCGGAGCACAGGAGAGCUGGAGAAGCCUGUAACCCCCUUCCCCAUUUCUUCCUGCUGAAACAGGAGGAUGAAUAACUGAAGAUGGGGCUGAGCUCCCUGUGUGUGAACGACACUGCCUGGAAGGCAGCGAGGCGGGCAGGAGCUUGAGCUGAAGACGGCCGAAUGUGUGAGUAUGGUGGGGAGAUGUGUUUGCUGCACAGAAAUCCAGAAAAUGGGUUUCUGGUGGGAGUGUCGUGGCCUGAGAUGCUGAAGCCUGUGCUUAGAACAAAUCUA